UACCAGCUGCCUUUCUUGCCUUCCAACUCCUGGACCAGUGAGAAAUCAAGACAUGGYUAGGUCAGUGUACAGGUACAAAGCAUACUUCACCUCCCAUGGACUGGGGAUGGGGAAGCGAAGGGAAGAGUGCUGCAGAGCUGCUGAUUGCUCUCCAAAGACUUCCUGUUAGGGAAAAUCCUCAGUUGACCAUUUAGGGUAGUAUUAGAGCUGCUCAGUGCUGCUGAGGCAUGCAGAGAAGCUGCAGAUGGGGCUGAGAGUACAGCUUGAUACUUCUCUGUUCAGCCACCAGUUACAGCAUUAUCAAAURAUUGCUGGAGGUGGUACCAAGACUGUUGGAAUGGCUGAAGGCAAAGAAGGAGCUCUGCUUUUAAUGAAAAGAGCAUUGAAAACAAGACAAGCAAAAGGAGGGGAGGAAAAAAAAAGGAAAACGAAAACUCCCUUCAGACAACAAUCACCUUUUGAGCUAAAUUCCCAUGCUUGGUCUUAGCCCAGAGGGAUUUGUCUUGAGUGAAGUUCGAAGAAAAUCCUUUCAGCAGUUUCUGAGUUACUUAAAUGUAACUAUGGAGCACAAACCAAAUCAACAGGACACUUAAAUGUCUCCUAAAUAUUUAUGGACUUCAAAGUCACUGAAAUGGUCUGUGAUUUUCUUACUGUUAUUAUUUWAUUGCCAGAAGAUUGAGGCAAUGAGAAGUGAAGUGUCUUGUAAGUAAUGGUUUUUCCUUUUUCUUUGUCCAAUCCUCCUAUUGCUCUCUGAAGUUUCUUCCUCUUUGUCUUCUUUCCAACAUUUCUGCAUCACUUACUAGUCCUGUUCUCACUGUCUCCUAUCUAUCUUUCAACCAUCUUUCUCYAUUUAUUCUUCUCCAACAAUUGUAUUGAAGAGAGCCCGUGAUAGAAAAUAUUUUUACUUUGGCAGCAGCUUUUUACUUUUAUCUUUUCCCUAAAUGUCUGGGAUGGGUCCAGGCAGCUCUCCCCACUUUCAUCAUAUCUCUCCACGUCCCUCAUGACCCUGAGCUCUAAUCAGCCAUCUGAUGUCURCCAUGAGAGCACCUCCCAUGAUCCAAAGCCACAAUCAGACUAAGGUGUUGUAACACCAUGUGUUGCUUUGCCUACUUACCACUCUUGCUCUGCUGCUUUCCAGGAACUGCACACCUGUGCCUGGGUUUUCUCACAGAAUAAUAAUGACAGCACUGUCGCCUUUUGCACGUCUCUUCUCCUUGCUCCUGUGCCCAUCUUCCUCUCCUGAGCUUUUGUGGUUCAAUCUCUUGGCUGGUGCAAUUUAGGAUAUGGGAGAUUUGUAUUUAGGCUCUGCCUGAGGCAAUUUGAACUUGAAUCUCUUGCCUGCUGAAUUUGCACCCUACAGAAGAGAUUAUCAGCUGUUCUGUGAGAAGGGUAACCCAAGUCCUUGCCUCAAGUGGCAAAGCUUGCGCUUGACUUUUCAGCCUUGUUGUGGAGACGCUCACCUGGGUGGGGGGAAACCACAUUUGCCAGGGCCUGCCCCAGUCAAAACUUAAUACAAAGUAUGGAGAUAUUCCCUGGAAGAGGGUAGCAAACCCCAGGCUUCUUGCUUUCAGUAGUGCUUUGAGAGCAAGCACACAGAACAAUCACUUCAAUCCAUUUAAUUAUCCCAUACAAACUGGAAUAGCUCCAAUKGGAUGGACUGGAGAAAGACCCUGUUCAACAAGAUUCUCUUAGAACUGUGCUGAUCUCACUGGGCUAGUGUGAGCCAGCUCCCUCAUACCCCAGAGCAGYCAUGGCAGCUGCCUCAGCUCCACUGUCUUGAUAUAGUACUGGGUACUGAGGACAUGUGUGGAGACUGGAGGAAAGYGAAGUGUGCUCCUGAAUGUACUGUGUUAUCCAUGGCGACAGGUUUGUAAUUGUAGCUUAAACAAACACCUGCCAGUGCUGCCUCAGUUACCAUUCUGGAGGAAUGGCAGCAAACAUGCGGUGGAGGGGAAAGAAUUCUGUUAAAAGACAGGGCAGUAGGCUGAGACACUACAAGGAUAAUUGCUUUUAAGGGUGGAAAUACCAUCAAAAUAGACUAAAGAGUCUUAAAAUACAAAAUCAAUGCCAAAACAGAGAAAGCCAGAAUGACUUCCAGAUCUCAGCUAUAGGCAGUUGUACCCCAACAUAAGCCAGGUACUGUCAGUGUGUGGGAGACAUCCAGGAAUUUUCUCUCCUUCAAAAAUAUUAGGGACAUUAUAUGUUUUAACUGUAAUGAAAAACUAGAGCUCUAGUGCUCAAUUCCAAAGAGGCCAAACCAUUGGAAGUGAUGUGGUACAGGGUGUAUGUGUGUGUGUGUGUGUGUGUGUGUGUGGCUGCUCCUUUUCUCCUCGGGAUUCUAUAGCUUCCUUCAUUCUUCGCUUCUCUCAUAUUACAGAAAGAAGGUAAUUUUUCCUGGCCAUUUACUAAAGCUCAUUAAAGACCGAAGAGAACAAACAAUGCUAUUCCUUAGAGACUACCAUUCAAAGUCAUUCUACAAUUCUCUGUUCUAAUACUUGAGACAAAUUAAUUAUUCCUUAGUGAAAAGUGUAUAAUUCCUAUUCUUCUUUUUUGGGGUGGGGAGUGGGGAAUAAUAAUAGGAAGUUUAUAUCUGAGUCAAAAGCUGUCUGUGCUGAAGGGAAAUGAGAAAAAAUGUGUGUUCCAAGAAGAGUAAAAGCAAUUAUUCUAAUAAUAAUUCUAGGGAUAUUAAUGUCUUUUUAAAGUAGAUUGCUUUCAAAUAAACACCAAAGUUGAAGGCAUAGGAAAGGCUGGUUUAUUUAUUAAUCAUUCCAAAAGUGCAUUUUUCUAAAUGAACAAGUGCAUGAGCAACUUCGCUGGCACAUAUUAAAUUUAGUUAAACGGCAACUUGUAAAUAUCUAAAAACUUCUGUAACCAGAGACUAAUUUGUUUAACGUGUUGAAAAUGUUAUGUGGAUGUGAGGAGCUACAUAUUAAACUUCAAAGCAAAAUGCUCUAGAGAUUACACCAUCUUAAAGACUGCAUAUUGGAAAGGCCUUUAUACAUUAAACAUAAAGGAUUUUAAAUUCUCUUCUAUUUUGAAUACUUGUCAAUCUGUAUGACUCAUGCUUAAGACUGUAAACUGUCAUUUAAGGUGUGAUGUCCAAGUUGAGACCUGGACCAUGAUUUGCAAGGGGCUGGGUUUUCUCUUUCAUCUCUAUUAAUUAAUCCUGUUUCAGUUUGCCCAGCGUACACUUCUGUUGACAUCACCUUUUCCAUAUACUUUAAAGAGUCCCCAGAGAGAUCUACUGCAGAACAAAAACUGGACAGAGAAUACAUUUGGAAACCAUUUUAUUUCUCAAUUACCAACCAAAACGUAUGGAAAAGAUUUACACUCUAUCUGAUUUACACAAUAAUUAUACUUUGAAAGCUUAGAAAUAAAUGGCUUGAUCCCUGAAAUCAUUAGUUACUAUACCAAAUGUAAUUGGUGUAAACUAAUGAGUUUACUGGAUGGCUGACCCUUAAUUACUGAUUAUAGUUAAACCCUAGCCAAUCAAAAUUUCGUUUACUUAUAAAAGUACAGUGUAGUAUUAACAAGCAUUACAUUUCUAAGCAAGCAGCUUUAUGAUUAGUUGUAGCACACAACUCAAGCUUGUUCAGGGCCAUCAAAAGCAGCUUUUCAAUAACAGUGCACUAAGCAACCAUCACUCUCUUACCUCAGCUUCUAUCAGACAAACAGAAAGAAACCACAUAAUUAAUCAUCUCAUGCAAUAGAAAUAAAGCRUCUGGGCCAGAUCCAGGUGGGAUGUACACAGCCGCCUCAGUCCAAAGAGCUGCAAGAGACUGAGGAUCUGCCUUAUGAUAGGAUAACUGACACAGGGAAUUCUGGUUCUCUUGUGGGGGCAGUAUGGGAUAUGGAAAUGAAAUACUGAUCGAUUGUGUGCAGUCCCAUGUGAUGUGGAGAAACCUAUCAACAAAGUAGAUUUAAUAAUUCCUUGAACUGAGGAGCAUUUCUUAGACAGAUUCAUUAUGCAGUAAUAGGAUAUCUGGCUACUGUACUGGCAAUCCCAAAAUCCAUAAGUCAUGAAUCCUCACUAUUUAUUUUAUGAAAUGGAGAAAAAAUUUUUAAAUAAAAUACUAAAGGGGAACAAAGUAUCUUCAUUUGUCUCAGGUUGAUCUUUAGGAACUAGUGUUUUACGUAACCAGGAAGACUCAAAAUUCCUACUGAGAAAGCUGAAAGCAGAUUUGUAUUUAGGCCAUGAUUUCAGAGUUGUGACUUUAAAUAGACAAACAAAUAUUUUAAUAAAAUCAUAAGACUUUACAGUGCUUACAGUCCUUAAAGGUACUUAGGUAAAUUACUCCAGUGAUUUAAGAAUGUGGAAAUUCUCCAUCUCCUAGAUCAUUCCUGCGAAUCCUAAACUUCAGACAGGAAAUUGAUACCAGAAGACACAAGCAUUGGAAGGUCAGCUAUGGAGAUUUAGUUGGAAGAAUAUGUAUUUGUUGGAGCUCUGCACUGUGUGCUCUGUAGAUGACCCAACAGACCUCACAUCAGCAAGUGUUAAUUCUGUUGGGAUUGCAGGUCUCUUCCAUUUCAGUUUUUCUCCAUUAUGUUCUUUCUGGGGCUUGUCUUUCAUAAGAAGCUAGGCUCAGCAGAGGACCGACCUUACCUGAAGGCUCUUUGGAAAAAGUACUGUAACACUUGCCUAUUUGUUAGUAUUGAAAUUGAAGAAUGAAUUUGUUUUCAGAAUAUCUGCACAUGGGUUAAAGUGAAAUUUAUGUAUUUACUGAACUCCUGUUUAUGAGAUGUGUCUGGGGUCAAGAAAAGGUUAAAGUUGUUUACUGCCUUCAAGCUUCGGUCUUAUAAGUUAAAUCAGAACUGUGCUGUGAGCAGUCAGAGAGAGUAAGUCCUUGGAGCAGUGAAUUGCUGGUUUGAUGUCAAGGUCCGUGGGCCUUAAUAAUAAUAUUAGUUUGUUUCCUAAGGAAAUCCUAGCAGGGACUUUAUGGUUAUGUAAAGUCAUCACAUUGUUUUAUGACAUAACUUUAAAGAUGCUUCAGAAUGAUCAGAGUUUGUGGGAGGGGAUCACAGUUUUUAUUAUUUGUGCAAUAUCCUCAAGGUGUCAUAGCUACAGCACUACCACUUGGAAUAGCUGCUCCACAGUUCAUAAGAAAAGACAAAGGAUCUGUUGAAGCCUAAGUCAGGCAAUUAGGGUACAUCUGUUCAGAGAAAGCUCGUUGAAUUGAAUGGAUCCCAUGUACUUCCUGACAAUUGACUCCAAUUUUGUAGGAGAUGUACAUUUGGGGCAAUCAAGGUGUUUUAUUACAAUUCCACAAGAGCAGAUAGAGAGCCUAUGAAGCUCUACAAGUUCUGCUUUUCWCAGUUCUCUGUUGGAGGAUUCAGGAGUGAGCAAUUUUGAAAGUCAAGGAAAAGGAAGAAGGCAUAUUUUCCCAAACUUUGUCAUCCUGUGAAUACGAAGAUAGAGGAAACACUAGACCAGACAAAAACUUUCCUCCCCACCCUCUGCACAGCAGUGCUGGUAAGAACAGUGCUGCCAUUUCUGUUCUGCUAACACUGAAGCAGCGCCCUCCAAUGCAGAAGGGAGACAAGGAACCAUUGAUUUGGGAGGAGGGAAGCACACUAUGGACAGGUUCACUCUUCCCAGCCUGCCAUCCCUGCGGCACAGAGGAAAGGGGGAGCUUCUGGAAUGACUGGUGGAGCAAGCACCGAAGGGCCCUAUUUCCCUCCUUUUCUGUGAACUCUGUAACUGUUUCUGUGAAAGAAAGCAUCAAGCCCCAUCUCGCUCAUGGAAAUACAACAUAUUUUAAAGCCAUAGUUAAUGGAUAAACUGUUUUCUGAUUGGAUGAGCCACACAAUAAAUCAUUUGCCGAGCCAAGUGCAAUGCAGCUUAUUCAGUUACAUGAAAUGAGCCACUGUCACUUUGCUGCACUUACAUACAUCAGGCAAAAUGCUUCCAUCUUCAUCAGUCUCUUAGUGAAAUAGAAAUAAAACAAUUGUAACAGAAUGGUGUCACUGGAUCUGUGGCACCUGCUUUAAAAAUAAUCUCUUAGCUUUGUCUUCACUAUUACUUUCAAUAAAUGUCCUAGGAUUGCCACAGCAUUUAUCUAGCAGCAGGAAACCAUUAUCCUAUGACAACAAUCUAUUCCAUUAACAUUAGCUCUUAAUUGUAAGAUUGUUUAUAAGACAGCAAAAGCUACUGAAUCAUAGUAGAAUGAUAUAAAGAGUUAUGGUCAUGGAGCAUAGUAGUCGCUCCAGUUAUGAAAAACAACUUAAAAGUAGAGAGUUAUAUUUUUAUAUGAAAAAUAAUGUAAUAUUCUUACGCAAUACGAUGUUUUAAAAUAAUGGAUUACAUCAGCAAAGUAACUAUUAAAGAGUUGGUGUUAAAAACUGUUACUAAGAAACMCUUUCUUUGAUAAAUGGUGUUGCUGAAAAAUGGAAUAGAAAGCUUAGAAACUCUGCCUCUUGCUUUCAGUAAUGCUGCACCAAGCCAAACAGAGAAAUCAUAAUAACAAAAACACAUUUGUCUGGCGGAGUGAACAGAAUAAAUGUUGCAGAAUUGAGAUAUGAAGAACCUCACUGCAGAACAGAAGGAGAACUGUCAUCCUGAUUGUUUGUCAUUAUUGUUUCAUGUCCAGUUAAGUGAACUUAAAGUGACAGUUGUGUCAUAACUACUGGAAUCUAUGUAAAUUUCAAAUCAAAUAUGAUAGAGUCAUUUCUGCCAGACACAAGUCACCAGGCUGCUCUUCCUCUUCUUUUUUGUAACCCUCCAUUUUCUCAUCCAUGCUGGUAACCCUUAAAUUAAAAAGACAAUUUCAA